rnacentral:lncRNA from 1 species
ACAAGGGAAGGCCUUUCGCACAGUCCCAAGGCCAGGAAGACGGAGGACGAGAACCCAGGAGCCCCCACGUCACCCCUGGGCUGUGCCUCUGCCCUCCAAGGCAUCAGUGACUUGAACAGCCUUCAGGCCUAGGUAGGGACAAGAAAGGACCUGCCCGUGUCACUCUGGAAGCCAGCCCACCGCAGGCCAGUUCUUACAGCCAGUCCAAGGUGCUUGGCAACGUGGACCUUCUCAAGAAGAAAUUCUGCUUGAAUGGACCAUCUCCAAGGUCCACCUGCAGCGGGGCGGGUCCCCGGGAACCAACAAGGAACAGGCUUGCUGUGGACCAGCACUGCUCGAUGGGUUCAAGGCGUCCUUGUCUGCUAAACAGGAAGGCAUGUGUGAUUCUGGCCUCCAGGUGGCUGAGUCCCAGCUAAGAGCGGAGGCAGCCCUGGGCUGUACAGAACCGACAGCAGGGGGUCCUCUGCUUCCUGAAAUGCACAUCUGCCCCAUAGCCAGCCUCCCGCCUUAGGAAAAGCAGCCGGGCUUGUCCCCCAAGCCCACGCAGGCUGUGUCUGUUACUUGCAUCUGGGAUGCCGUGGGGAGUGUGGUACCCAAAGGGUAAGGAGUGUCACCUCGCCUUGGCCAUCUGUGACUCUGGAACUUAAGGACUUCUGUGUCAGAAGAAAGGCACCCCUCUUUGGAACAUUUGCACCUGCAGAACCAGACCCGGGCCCCAGGAUCACGGAAUCCACUGGGGUCAGUAUGAAGUGACCACAGACAUUGCGACCACCAUGGGCCAGCUCCAAUAUGACAAGGCCAUCUGCUGAUGGGCCACAGGCGUUGCCUGCAGAAGGACGCCCAAGGCAACUUGGGUGGAGACACGGCCAGCUGUGUGACAUUAUAGGGUUUCCAGACCUGGGACCAGGAAGCAGCCACAAGGCUUCCUUCCCUCCAACCAAAGUUCUCAGGGUGCAAAAGGCAGCCUUGCCAACCGGCCUGGCCAAUCCCAUGCUGAGCCCAGCCCUGUGCCUGAUCCGUCAUCAAGGGCAACCCAGCUGGUGUUUCAGGAAGAACCCAGCCUUCAAAGUUGACUUCAAAUUGCUAUGAAUCACCCUAUCUGAUGCAAAUGUGGGCUUGGGUAGACUCGGAGAUAGCUGAUUGCCUCAGAUUAAUCCACAGUUGCCUCGGCAGGUAAUUUACUUCUGGGAGUUUCAGGGACUAAGAAGAACAAGGCAUUUGCAUAAAUAGACUAAACUCAGAGUCCAGGCAGCCAGCCGGUUCUCUGGCUGGCAGCUCCUGGUGACAGAGGACUCCCAUGAUUCAGGACCCCACCCACCUAUCCAUAUCCCAUACGUGAAAAGCAUCCUUGAAGUCCGGCCAUGGUCCCCAGCCACUGCCCCUGAUAAGUGGGUGCUCCACUGCAGUGCCCCUCAGCAGGUGGUCUGUCUCUCCACAUUUCUGUGACUUUUGCUGCAACCAAAUUCUUUCUUGCCCUGGGUAGCGAUCCACCAUCAUGGCUCCAGUCACCCCAGGUCAACUGGCUUUGUCCUGGGAUGUUCCUUCAUGCGUUUGAAGUGUUCCCUGGCUUCUCUGUGCAGACCAAAGCCCUGGACUUCCUAAUACAGCAGGGUUCUGGAACACUCCACCAUCUGGUCAGCCUCCUCCAGGCUUCCUUUCCUUGCAGCCUUCCUCUGAGAAUGUGGCAGCCAUACCAGGGGUGGGCUCACCAGUAUCACCUCCCUUGUUUCAGCCACUGUACUCCUAUUAAUAUGACCUGGCCUUUUGGACAGCUCAACCGCAUGGUGUCUCGUAAUAAGAUUUAGAGUUAACUAAACACGCCCUUUGUAAAAUGGGCACUGUUUGGCCUCCUUUCUCCCAGCUGGUAGCUGUUCUGUUGAGGUUUGGAGCUAAAUACUACACUUAAUAUUUAUUUCUGUGUGUGUGUGUGUGUGUGUGUGUGUGUGUGUGUGUGUGUAUUUGUCUUUUUACGCCCACACCCUUGGCAUAUGGAGGCUCCCAGGCUAGGGGCGAGUCAGAGCUGUAGCUGCCAGCCUACACCACAGCCAUAGCAACGCCAGAUCCUUAACCCACUGAGCGAGGCCAGGGAGCGAACCCUCAACGUCAUGGUUCCUCGUCAGAUUCGUUUCCACUGCACCACAACGGGAACUCCCUAUUCCUGUUAUAUAUUGUUGUUUUAAUUUGACCUGUCCUUCCGUCCCUGUCACUCACAGUAAUUUUCUGCCAUUUGGAAACCUGUUACAAACGCCUUCGGUGGCUUGACCCAGGUUAUUAUUUAAAAAGCAUUUUCUGUUAUGGAUGCGGUUAAUCAUUACAGCCAGCAGCUUGCUUUUCUCUACCUUUUUUCAAAAGGCAAUAUGCUAAUGGCUUUGCUAAAAUAUCUUAAAAUGUUAGCGCCGGAAGAGAUGCUAAGGACAUGUGCUUCAACUCCUUCAUUUGACGGAGGAGGGAACUGAGGCAGAGGGGUGCCAGGGACCAUGGAGACCCCCGAUCUGUGGCAGAGCCGGGCGCUGUGACUCAAAUAUUCCAACCCAGGUAUCCUUUGGAUAUUUGUGCAGAAAAAAAAAAAAAGAAGAAGAUGAUGGGCAUAUGGCACCAUGUCUACUGGAGGAUUCCAAGAGCAGACAACAGAAUCUUGGGGAGGAGGAGCUUGGUGGCUUAAAAGCCACAGCUGCCCAUCAGCUGAUGAAUAAACACCACGUGCUCUGGCCUUUUCACGGCAGGUUAUCCAGCAGCCCCGGAAAGAAAUGAGGCAUUGGCUCACAGCAACAUGGGUGACUCUUGACAAUAUUCUGGUGCGUGAAAGAAGCCAAUCACAAGUAUUGUGUGAUUCCUCUAAUGCAAAACGUCCACAAUAGUUAAACCCACAGAGAGAGAAAGCAGUGCAUGCGUGCCAGGGCCUGCAGAUGGAGGGGGAGACCAGAGUGGCAGCUGAUGAAUGGUACAGGGUUUUUUGGGGUUUGGGGAGUGGCUGGGGUCAUGAAACUGCUGUCAAAAUUAGUGGUGAUGACUACAGGACUUCGUGAUUACACUCAAAACUACUGAAUUGUAUAUUUUCGAGUGGUUUCAAUGGUGAAUUUUAUGGCAUGGAGAUUAUAUCUGAAUUUUUGGAAAAGAAGCCCCAGGGGGCCUUUGCACUUGUGGCCCCUGAAGCAGAAAGGAGGUGCACACAAUGAGGUACCACCUCACCCCGGCCAGAAGGGCCAUCAUCAAAAAGUCUACAAACAGUAAGUGCUGGAGAGGGUGUGAAGAAAAAGAAACCUCAUUACACCGUUGGUGGGACUAUAAACUGGUGCAACCACUGCGGAAAACAGUAUAGAGAUUCCUCAGGAAACUAAAAAUAGAAUUACCAUUUGAUCCAGCAGUCCCACUCCUGGGCAUCUAUCCAGAGAAAGCCAUGGCUUAAAUAGACACAUGUACUCCAGUGUUCAUUGCAGCACUGUAUACAACAGCCAAGAGAGGGAAAUAAUCUAAAUGCCCAUCAACAGAGGAGUGGAUCAAGAAGAAGUGGUACAUAUAUACACAAUGGAAUAUUACUCAGCCAUUAAAAGGAAAGAAAUAACGGCAUUUGCAGCAACAUGGAUGGACCCAGAAAUUAUCAUGCUAAAUGAAGUCAGACAGUGCGACACCAACAUCAAAUGCUAUGACUUACAUGUGUGAUCUAAAAAAAGGACACAAUGAGCUUCUCUGCAGAACAGAUACUGACUCACAGACUUUGAAGAACCUAUGGUUUCCUGAUGAGACAGGUUGGGGACUGGGGGGAUGCACUGAGGGUUUGGGAUGGAAAUGUGAUAAAAUUGGGUUGUGAUGAUCGUUGUACACCUAUAAAUGUAAUAAAAUUCAUUGAGUAAU